AUUGAACGCUGGCGGCAGGCCUAACACAUGCAAUUCGAACGAGUGGCGGACGGGUGAGUAAUGUCUGGGAAACUGCCUGAUGGAGGGUGAUAACUACUGGAAACGGUAGCUAAUACCGCAUACACUCGGAUGUGCCCCUAUUGGAUUAGCUUGUUGGUGGGGUAACGGCUCACCAAGGCGACGAUCCCUAGCUGGUCUGAGAGGCUGAACAGCCACGCUGGAACUGAGACACGGUCCAGACUCCUACGGGAGGCAGCAGUAGGGAAUAGUGCACAAGGGGCGCAAGCCUGAUGCAGCCAUGCCGCGUGUAUUAAGAAUGCCUUCGGGUUGUAAAGUACUUUCAGCGGGGAGGCGUUACCCGCAGAAGAAGCACCGGCUAACUCCGUGCCAGCAGCCGCGGUAAUUC
rnacentral:rRNA from 1 species